GAUGAACGCUGGCGGCGUGCCUAACACAUGCAAGUCGAACGGAAAAACGCGGAGCUUUUUCCUGUGAGGGUAGCGGCGGACGGGGGGGUAACAAGUGGAUAGUAAACUUCUAAGUCCUGGAGGAUAACGGCAAGAAAGUGCCGCUAAUACAGGAUAUGUUGUACCGGUCGCAUCAUGGGUGAAUGACAGAUUUGGUGUCGGUGGGAGAUGGAGUCGCGCCGGAUUAGCUAGUUGGUGAGGUAACGGCGUACCAAGGCGACGAUGCGUAGCCGGCCUGAGAGGGUGAUCGGCCACACUGGAACUGAGACACGGUGCAGACUCCUACGGGAGGCAGCAGUGGGGAAUCUUCCGCAAUGGGCGAAAGACUGAUGCAGCAACGCCGCGUGGGUGAUGAAGGCCUUCGGGUCGUAAAGCUCUGUUGUUGGGAGAGAAGAAGUGCGGAAUUAUCUGUGGAUGUGUUGACGGUACCUAAACAGAAAGCCACGGCUAACUACGUG
rnacentral:rRNA from 1 species